rnacentral:rRNA from 1 species
GACGAACGCUGGCGGCGUGCUUUACACAUGCAAGUCGAGCGAUGAGAUCCCUUCGGGGAAGGAUUAGCGGCGAACGGGUGAGGAACACGUGAGGAAUCUGCCUUCAACACUGGGAUAACUCCGGGAAACCGGGGCUAAUACCGGAUACGAGACCUGCAGGCAUCUGCGGGUCUGGAAAGUUUUUCGGUGAAGAUGACCUCGCGGCCUAUCAGCUUGUUGGUGAGGUAAUGGCUCACCAAGGCGACGACGGGUAGCCGGCCUGAGAGGGCGACCGGCCACACUGGGACUGAGACACGGCCCAGACUCCUACGGAGGCUG